AACGCACAUGGCGCCUUCCAGUAUCCUGGGAGGCAUGCCUGUCCGAGCGUCGUUUCAACCCUCGAGCCCCCGUGGCCCGGCGUUGGGGACCUGCCCAGGCAGUCCCCGAAAACCAGUGGCGGACCCGUUACAGGCCCUUCCCUUGCGUAGUAACUUUUGCCUCGCAUCGGGAGCCGGCGGGCUUCCAGCCUCUAAACCCCCAUCAAGUCCGCCCCGGCGGCACCAAGGUUGACCUCGGAUCAGGUAGGAAUACCCGCUGAACUUAA
rnacentral:misc_RNA from 1 species